CCGAUGCUGCAUUGCUUGGGAAUCUGUUUGGAUCUCUCACCGUCGCCCAAAUUGGCCUCCCCCAUUUCGACUCCAGAAUCUUGCAGAGAAUUAAGGACGAGGUAGAGAAAAGAAAGCUGCAGUGCAUCAACUCGUGCCAUCCAGGGGAGAACCAGUCGAUUCAUCGGGUGCCCGAAGGACACGAACAGUUCCACGAAUGUCUUGGAACAGUCAGAUCGGAAUGCCGAUUGAAUCAACCGGCUCCUGCAAGAGCAGCGGAGCAAGUGAAUGGGCAGCAUAAGGUAUUAUGAGGAGCAAAAUAGGAAGCAGCUGAAAUUUUCCCAUAAACCUAACAACUUUGAAGUUUUCUUUGUGCAAAAACUUCUGUUAGCAAUAUAGAGAGAGCUGCAUAGCUUUUGUUAAAAGUUGUAUUUAUAAUGAUUAUAAGGGGAAAUGAAUUCUGAAGCCCCAUUUUAGUAUUGGGCAUUGAAAUUCCAGAUGCCAUUUUUCAUCACUA